rnacentral:lncRNA from 1 species
AUUCCCAAUUACAAGCCUAUGAACUAAACUCAAAAUCAGCACUACAUCUAACACCUGCCCUUCUAGAAUCAGAAUCCUGUGACUCCUCCAGCCACCCAAGGUGACUCAUGCUGACUUCCUCCAAGUGAUACUACCUGCCUUCUCUGCCAAACCCUCUGGCCCUAACCUAUCAUGUAUGAAAGGUGAAAUAGGAGCAUACUCUGAUUUCACAGUUUUAACCAUCAUCCUGUGACCCCAAAAGUCCAUCACAGGAGGGCAUAUGCACAAAGACAUUAAAUGUAAAAGAAAUGGCCUGUGCUGAGCAACAGAGAAAGCUGUAUCAGAGAUAAAACCAAACAGUAAGCUUCCUAUGACACAGCUCCAGUGGAAGAAGAGAAAGCACCACCUCAUUACUGCAAGGUGGAAACAGAAGUCCAAGAGAGAUUCUUUGUUACCACUUGACAUGGAUGGGAAUCUAGGUACUCCCUGAUGGAGAGAAGGAGGACUGCCUCAUUAUGCUCACCAUGUAACCUACAAUAGCACCAUGGAAGGGGGAUGUGGACGUCUGUUAUCACUGGGUGGUUGUGAAAGCCCUGACUCUAUUGGCUUCUUUGGACAUAAUGCCAGUGGGGAGGGGGAAGAAUGCCUCAUUAAUGCCAUCUGUGGGUAGAAAUCCAGGCUACCCACUUUGCUUUUUGAUAGUGUGGUGGGGGAUGGGGCCACAUAUUUUUUUCUGCGAUAUUUAGCAGAAAUACAAAGCAGUUAUUGCCAACAUUUUCUGUCUUGUUUGCUGCCAUUUUUGUGGUCCUUUGGUUUCAGAGAGAAGGCUUUUGUUGGGACUUCUUUGUUCUGUGCCCACUGUCACUUCUGGGUUACUGACUUCUUCACCUCCAAAUCUGACAAAAAGGCAGAAAGACAACCCAGCAAACUCACCGCCAUAUUGUUUCUUAAAUCUCAAGAUGAAUUACCUCACAGGAUUGCUGGUCAAAGACACUCGGAGAGACUCCAGGCAUGUGACAAGUCUCUCAUCUGCAGACCCCAUUUUCAGCUCAUGAAUGAAUUCCUGAGAUUCACCAUCCAACGGCAGGAAAUGAAUUGUGUAAGUUCAAAAGAAGAUCAGGUGAAGUGGUACGAAAUUCGGUGUUUUUCAUGUUUUUUGUUUUUAUUAAUUUACUAUAAUGUUAUUCAAAACAACAUUCCCAAUAAAGCAAAACAAAUUA